rnacentral:rRNA from 1 species
GUCUUUUUGAAUUAAAUUUAAAGUCUAACCUGCCCACUGAAAAUUUUUAAAUGGCCGCAGUAUUUUAACUGUGCAAAGGUAGCAUAAUCAUUAGUCUUUUAAUUGAAGGCUGGAAUGAAUGGUUGGACGAAAUAUUAACUGUUUCAUUUAAAUUUUUUAUUGAAUUUUAUUUUUUAGUCAAAAAGCUAAAAUUAAUUUAAAAGACGAGAAGACCCUAUAAAUCUUUAUAUUUUAUUUAUUUUAAUUAUAAAGAUUAAUUUUAUUAUAAUAAAUAAAAAUAUUUUAUUGGGGUGAUAUUAAAAUUUAAAAAACUUUUAAUUUUAAAACCAUUAAUUUAUGAAUAAUUGAUCCAUUAAUAAUGAUUAAAAAUUUAAGUUACUUUAGGGAUAACAGCGUAAUUUUUUUGGAGAGUUCAUAUCGAUAAAAAAGAUUGCGACCUCGAUGUUGGAUUAAGAUAUAAUUUUGGGUGUAGCCGUUUCAAAUUUUUAAGUCUGUUCGACUUUUAAAUUUCUU